CACACACACACGCCUGCGCGCCGCCGCCGCCGCACCCCAUCCGCCACCGCCGCCGCCGCACCCCAUCCGCCGCCGCCGCUGACCAGAUCCGGCGCCACUGGCCCACACAGCCCCUGCCCCUGGCCCGCCCCUCCCCAUGCCCCGCACUCCGCCGCCGCCUCACCCCGCACGGCCGCCGCGUCCCCGCACCCGCACGGCCGCCGCUUUGCCUACGCAACCUACGAGCUGCUGCUGAGCCCCGACCGGAUCGAGCUGCUGCUGAGCGGGCGGUGCGUGUCGCUGCUGCUGUGGCUGGAGGAGCGGUACGAGGUGGUGUACAGCCGCCACCCGGAGUUCCAGGCCGGCACCCGCCCGCUGCUCGCGCUCGACAACCCGUUCCCCACCACGCUCCCCGAGAACCUCUUCGGCGACAAGUGGGCGUUCGUGCAGCUCCCCUUCUCCGCUGUGAGAGAGGAGGUGGAGUCACUGGGGAGGAGGUACGCGGCUGGACUUGGAUCUGCUAGGGUUCGAGCUUGAUGACAGCACACUAGUCCCUGGCGUCGCCGUGGAAUCAUCUCGCGCCAAGCCUCUAGCCGGUAAGUUUGUACCAAAUACUAGAUACUAGAAGAAUGACAGUAAUGUGCUGUCUCGGUGUACUGAAUAAAACUCUAAAAAAAAGCAGUCUGAACCCAAACCAUUCAAAAUGUGUGUAGCAAACUGACAAAGAAUUAUUUUUCAUGGCUAAUGCUUGAUUGCAAAUGCAUCUAUCUAUAUGUUCUGAUUAUGGGGCGCAAGCCCUGCAAAAUGCUUUUUUGUUGGUAAAAGAACUACUAAGUUAUUGAAUAGUACUUGCAUAUCAGGAGUACCGUGGUGGAGUGGAUACAUGUUCAUCUCUGCUUGCUAGCUGUUGGUUUAUACUAUUAUUUAUCAUAUAUGUACUGCAGUAGUGUGCACAACAUGGGAUUGGGGGUGAUGUUCUUUGAGUUGGGAAUUUGUUAGUAUGAACUUUUGGUUUAUGUUGAACUUUAUGUUAGAUUUGUCAUAUCUAUGUGGAUUUGUGAUAUCUGUGGACUUCGAUAUGUUUCAUGUGUGAUAUAUAUGUGGAUUGUGAUAUAGACA